UUUUAAAGGGCCGCGGUAUCCUGACUGUGCAAAGGUAGCAUAAUCGUUAGUUUUUUAAUUGGAAUCUUGUAUGAAUGGUUUGACAAAAGAAAAUCUGUCUUUAUAAUUAUUUAUUGAAUUUAACUUUUAAGUGAAAAGGCUUAAAUAAAUUAAAAAGACGAUAAGACCCUAUAAAGCUUAAUAUUAAAUUUUUAUUUAAUUAAAUUUUGAAUUAUAAUAAAAAUUUGGUAAAUAAAUUUUAUUUUGUUGGGGUGAUAAUGGUAAAAUGAUUAUUAACUGUUAAUUUUUUUAGACAAAAAUAAGUGAAUAAGUGAUUUAUUAAUAAAGGAUCCUGUAUUAAAGAUUAAAAGUUUAAGUUACUUUAGGGAUAACAGCGUUAUUUUUUUUGAGAGUUCUUAUCGAGAAAAAAGUUUGCGACCUCGAUGUUGAAUUAAAAUAUCUAUAUAAUUGUAGCAGUUAUAUAAGAAGGUCUGUUCGACCUUUAAAAUUUUACACGAUU
rnacentral:rRNA from 1 species